GGAGCCGAAGGCACCAGGACGAAUGAAGCCUGGGCUCUGAGCCCAGCGGCUCACACCGACGUGAGCAGACAGGCAGGUGGCUGGCACGGACCAUAGUUUGCUGACCCCUUUUCUAGAGAGAGAAGAGCUGAUGCAGAACCCAAGUCCAACAAGGACCACUUGAGAGGAUCAGCAGGGAGAGUCAUCUGCAUCUCCGAGAGGCAUCUCCACCACCCCUCUCCCUGCCCCCCUCCUACCCGCACCCCCCAAAGCACAACUUUGUAAACCUGUCUAGCCGGUCAGAUAUCCCUGACUCUCCCAGUUUUAUUUAUUCCCUUGGCAAAGGCUGGAUUUGCACAUGAUUAAAGAAAAAAA